GAUGAACGCUGGCGGCGUGCCUAACACAUGCAAGUCGAGCGGCAGCGAGGGGUGCUUGCCCCCUGUCGGUGAGCGGCGGACGGCUGAGUAACGCGUGGGAACGUGCCCCAAAGUGAGGAAUAACUGCCCGAAAGGGUAGCUAAUACCGCAUAUUAUCUUCGGAUCAAAGGAUUUAUCCGCUUUGGGAGCGGCUCGCGUCGGAUUAGGUAGUUGGUGAGGUAAUGGCUCACCAAGCCGACGAUCCGUAGCUGGUCUGAGAGGAUGACCAGCCAGACUGGAACUGAGACACGGUCCAGACUCCUACGGGAGGCAGCAGUGAGGAAUCUUCCACAAUGGGCGAAAGCCUGAUGGAGCAACGCCGCGUGCAGGACGAAGGCCUUCGGGUUGUAAACUGCUUUUAUAAGUGAGGAAUAUGACGGUAACUUAUGAAUAAGGAUCGGCUAACUACGUG
rnacentral:rRNA from 1 species